rnacentral:rRNA from 1 species
AUUGAACGCUGGCGGCAGGCCUAACACAUGCAAGUCGAGCGGAUGAAGGGAGCUUGCUCCUGGAUUCAGCGGCGGACGGGUGAGUAAUGCCUAGGAAUCUGCCUGGUAGUGGGGGAUAACGUCCGGAAACGGGCGCUAAUACCGCAUACGUCCUGAGGGAGAAAGUGGGGGAUCUUCGGACCUCACGCUAUCAGAUGGGCCUAGGUCGGAUUAGCUAGUUGGUGGGGUAAAGGCCUACCAAGGCGACGAUCCGUAACUGGUCUGAGAGGAUGAUCAGCCAGGCGGGAAGUGAGACACGGUCCAGACUCUGACGGGAGGCAGCAGUGGGGAAUAUUAGACGAUGGGGGAAAGCCUGAUCCAGCCAAGCCGCGUGUGUGAAGAAGGACUUCGGAUGGUAAAGCACUUUAAGUUGGGAGGAAGGGAAGUAAGUUAAUACCUGGCUGUUUUGACGUUACCAACAGAAUAAGCACCGGCUAACUUCGUG